rnacentral:rRNA from 1 species
CCCGCUGAACUUAAGCAUAUCAAUAAGCGGAGGAAAAGAAACUAACAAGGAUUCCCCUAGUAACUGCGAGUGAAGAGGGAAGAGCUCAAAUUUAAAAUCUGUCAGUCUUUGGCUGGCCGAGUUGUAAAUUAGAGAAGUGCUAUCUGCGCUGGCCUGUGCAAAAGUCUCUUGGAAAAGGGCAUCAUAGAGGGUGACAAUCCCGUCUUUGGUACAGAGCUUCCAGGGCUUCAUGAUGUGCUCUCGAUGAGUCGAGUUGUUUGGGAAUGCAGCUCUAAAUGGGUGGUAAAUUCCAUCUAAAGCUAGAUAUUGGCGAGAAACCGAUAGCGCACAAGUACCGUGAGGGAAAGAUGAAAAGAACUUUGAAAAGAGAGUUAAACAGUACGUGAAAUUGUUGAAAGGGAAACGCUUGAAGUCAGUCGCGUCCUUCAGAAAUCAACCUGACCUUGGUCUGGCUUACUUUCUGGUGGAUGGGUCAGCAUCAAUUUUGAUCAUUGGAUAAAGGCCUUGGGAAAGUGGCAUCUCCAGAUGUGUUAUAGCCUUUGGUUCAUAUACAGUGGUUGGGAUUGAGGAACUCAGUGUGAACUUGGGGCUUUGGCCUACAACACGCACUUAGGAUGCUGGCAUAAUGGCUUUAAUCGACCCGUCUUGAAACACGG